UGUUCCCCUAAAGCCUGUGUAUUAAAGGCUUGGUCCCCAGCCCCAGACUACUCCAGAGAGGUGAAGCUGUGAGGAAUUGAGGCUGAAUGGAAGGUUUUAGGUCAUACUCUCCAAGAGUAUCAGAAGGCACAGAGUCCUUUUUUUUUUUUCUCUUGGCUUCUUAGCUGCCAUGAACAGAUUGCCCCACCGUGUGCUUCCCACCACCAUGUGCUUGCCUCACAGCAGGCCCAAAAGUGAUGCUGCCCAAUGGCCGUCCAUCGAAACCCUAAAGCUAAGAGCAAAAACGAACCUUUUCUCAGUUUUCUCAGGUCUUUGCCACAGUGGGAGAAAGCUAACAAGAAUGCCAGAGGAUGAGUUCCCAUCAAACAGUGCAACUCAGGAGGAGCCUGCCCUCAAGAUGGUAACCCAAGAGGAUGGAAAUGAAAAUCCUAAUAGAUUGACAUUAGAGUCAUCUGGGAAGAGGGAACUUCACCUAGCAGAUAGCAGAUGGUCACUGAUGUUUGAACUGAAGCAAAAAAAAAAAAAAAAUUGUGGUGGUAUUCACCUGUAAUACAACACUACAGGAAGCUACAGGAAGACCAGACUGUCAAGACAAGCCUGGACUACAUGAGACCCUGUCUAAUAAAAUAAUGGAUCAACAGAGAAAACCCCUCAUUGCUUAUGAUAAGGAAAUUAAAGAUACAAAAUAAACACACCCUCUAUUACUUCAAAGCGAAGAAAUUACAAUCCAAAAUGCUGAAAGUUUGAAGAUGGUUGAUGAUAGCAGAACAAAAUCUGGCAGAUAGCAUUACAGCCUUCGGUUACAUGUGCAGACAGGUUCUCAUGGAUUACACCCCAACUUGCCUCCCACUCAUACAGACCCAGCUGCUUGCUUCCCGAUGCUGUGAUUGAAGACGUUGCACCCUUUUGCCCAGCAAAGGAAAAUCUUCCGUAGACGUAGACCACCGCCCAGCAAGCAUGCAGCAUUGCAAUGUGAGGUCCGUCGUCCCUCCCAGGAACACGACUGUAAAUAACUAGUACACCCUUCAUCCUUACAGACUCAGUUCCCACAAGCUGAUCUGAGUCUCUGUAUCAUUGCUGCCAGUUUCUGUACCUCGAACUCUGUAAAGCAGUCUGCAUUGGGGUGCUCCCCUGUGGUCUACAAUUUCAUGCCAUUUUCCAGGGCCUUAUCGGUGAAUUGGUGAAGAAGCCCUCCUGUGUCCCUUAUAAGCCUAGACAGGCUUGGUGGUACGCACCUUUAAUUCCAGCACUUGGGAGACAGAGGCGGCAGAUUUUUUGGAGUUUGAGGCCAGCUUGAUCGUCACAGGAUGUUCCGGGCCAGCUAGACCUUCAGAGUAAGAACAAGUAUUUGCCUUUGAUGGAAGCAAAUAGAAGUAUGCUAAUCAAGAUGUAUGCAGGUAUGAUGGCCCAGUCCUGCCCAUGUAGGUAGUAGUGAAGUUAUAGCUAGCUCAGGUUUCUAAGAAACUGGAGAAGGGCUUAAAAUACCAGUGUAAAGCUGCCAGUUUAAGUUAAGUAUGUACAUACAUAGAAUAGUUUUACCUUCCAGGUGAUUGAUCUUAUACUAAUAUGUAUUUUUUUCAUGUGCAAAUACUGUAUUUGCAUUUAAAAUAUUACGUGUACUUUAAAAUUCCUAAAUGCAAUGCUAGGUCACAGCUUAACAAUAAUUUAAAAUAUCAUAAAAUAGUUGUCUUAUGCAUUCUUUAAGCCUGUCCCUAAUUGUGAGCCCCCCAGUUUAUAAUAUGCUUCUGAUUUCAAUUUCUCAACAUGGAUCAGUUUAGUACUCUGAAUCCUUAAUAUUUGGGUAAGAUGCUCAUUUAGAGAUGUACUCACUAUUAGAUAGACAGAAAGAUAACUAUCUCAUAGAUACAGUCUUUGAGACAGGGUCUCACUGUGCUGUCCUGACUGGCCUUGAAGUCACUACAUAAACUCAAAGAGAUAAGCCUGCCUCUUCCUCCCAAGUGCUGGGAUUAAAGGCAUGCACCAACAAGCCUGGCUAUUUGGGCUAAAUAAUUCUUGUCAUAUUGACUCCUUUAUUUGUUUAUUUAUUUAUUAUGUUUGGUAUUGAAGAUGGUAAACACGUGUUCUACUACUGUGCUACAUUCUCAGCCCCAGGUGAUUCUUUUAUUAUAACGUAUUGUGUUUAAGUUUUGGGAUGAUGUUUUGGCUUGUCUUAUAUCAAUUUCAUACAAGCUAGAGUCACCAAAGAGGAGAGAGCAAUUGAAAAAAAUGCCUCCAUAAGAUCUGACUAAAGGCAAACCUGUAAGAUACUUUCUUAAUUAGUGAUUAAUGGGGAAGGGCCCAGCCCAUUGUGGGUGGAGUCACCCCUGGGCUCAUAGUUCUGGGUUCCAUAAGAAAGCAGGCUGACUAAGCCUUGGGAAGCAAGCCAGGAAGCAGCACUCCUCCAUGGCUUCUGGAUUGGUUCCUGUCCUGUUUGAGUUCCUGCCUGACUUCUUUCAGUGAUAAACGGUGAUAUGGAAGAAUAAGCCAAAUAAAUC